GAACAUUGGCAGCACAUAUACUAAAACUGGAAUGGUACAGAGAAGAUUAGCAUGGCCCCUGUGCAAGGAUCACAUGCAAAUCCCUGAACAGAAAGCCAAAAUA